rnacentral:rRNA from 1 species
UAGGGUUUACCCGUAAAACGGCGAGUGAACCGGGAAGAGCUCAAAUUUGAAAUCUGGCGUGCUCAGUGCGUCCGAGUUGUAAUCUAUAGAGGCGUUUUCCGUGCCGGACUGUGUCUAAGUCCCUUGGAACAGGGUAUCAAAGAGGGUGAUAAUCCCGUACUUGACACAAUGACCGGUGCUCUGUGAUACGUCUUCUACGAGUCGAGUUGUUUGGGAAUGCAGCUCAAAAUGGGUGGUGAGUUCCAUCUAAAGCUAAAUAUUGGCGAGAGACCGAUAGCGAACAAGUACCGUGAGGGAAAGAUGAAAAGCACUUUGGAAAGAGAGUUAAACAGUACGUGAAAUUGUUGAAAGGGAAACGAUUGAAGUCAGUCGUGACUGAAAGGCUCAGCCGGUUCUGCCGGUGUAUUCCCCUCAGUCGGGUCAACAUCAUUUUUGUUCGGUGGAUAAGGGCAGCUGGAAGGUGGCACCUCCGGGUGUGUUAUAGCCAGCUGUCGCAUACAUCGAAUGAAACUGAGGAAUGCAGCUCGCCUUUAUGGCCGGGGUUCCCCCACGUCCGAGCUUAGGAUGUUGACAUAAUGGCUUUAAACGACCCGUCUUGAACCACGGAC